AUUCCGGUUGAUCCUGCCGGAGGCCAUUGCUAUUGGGAUCCGAUUUAGCCAUGCUAGUCGCACGAGUUCAGACUCGUGGCGAAUAGCUCAGUAACACGUGGCCAAACUACCCUUCGGAACACAAUACCCUCGGGAAACUGAGGCUAAUAGUGUAUACCAUACCACCACUGGAAUGAGUGGUAUGCCAAACGCUCCGGCGCCGAAGGAUGUGGCUGCGGCCGAUUAGGUAGACGGUGGGGUAACGGCCCACCGUGCCAAUAAUCGGUAUGGGUCAUGAGAGUGAGAACCCAGAGACGGAAUCUGAGACAAGAUUCCGGGCCCUACGGGGCGCAGCAGGCGCGAAACCUUUACACUGCACGACAGUGCGAUAGGGGGAUCCCAAGUGCACAGGCAUAGCGCCUGUGCUUUUCGGUACCGUAAGGUGGUACCAGAAUAAGGGCUGGGCAAGACCGGUGCCAGCCGCCGCGGUAAUACCGGCAGCCCAAGUGAUGGCCGAUCUUAUUGGGCCUAAAGCGUCCGUAGCUGGCCGCGCAAGUCCAUCGGGAAAUCCACCUGCUCAACAGGUGGGCGCCCGGUAGAAACUGCGUGGCUUGGGACCGGAAGGCGCGACGGGUACGUCCGGGGUAGGAGUGAAAUCCCGUAAUCCUGGACGGACCGCCGAUGGCGAAAGCACGUCGCGAGGACGGAUCCGACAGUGAGGGACG
rnacentral:rRNA from 1 species